rnacentral:rRNA from 1 species
CAGCCGCCACGGUAAAACGUAGGGUGCAAGCGUUAAUCGGAAUUACUGGGCGUAAAGCGUGCGCAGGCGGUUCGCUAAGACAGAUGUGAAAUCCCCGGGCUUAACCUGGGAACUGCAUUUGUGACUGGCGGGCUAGAGUAUGGCAGAGGGGGGUAGAAUUCCACGUGUAGCAGUGAAAUGCGUAGAGAUGUGGAGGAAUACCGAUGGCGAAGGCAGCCCCCUGGGCCAAUACUGACGCUCAUGCACGAAAGCGUGGGGAGCGAACAGGAUUAGAUACCCGGGUAGUCCCUGUCUCUUAUAA